UAUUGUCAGUGGAAAAUGGCGUCUAGCGAUAGUUGGACAUUUGAGGAGAACGAGCGGUUUGAAGAUGCAUUGGCGGUGUUCGACCAGAAGGCGCCGGACCGGUGGAGCAAACUGGUGGCGGCCGUCGGUGGCACGAAGACGGAGGAGGAUGUGAAGCUCCACUUCCAAAGGCUUGUCGAUGAUAUUGAGUUGAUUGAGUCGGGAAAGUGGCCCCUGCCUGAUUAUAAGGAUGAGUCUGCUUUGCGCUAUAAGUAUAACCUUUAAUUAAGAUAUCAUAUUAUUGGCAAAAUAAAAGGAUGGGAAUUUCUUUAUUAUUAUCCAUCAACUUGAAGCAAGAGUUGAAGAAAAAUAAUGUGGAGUAUUCAUUUCUCCUGGGUAUUAUGUUUUCUUCUUCUUAUAAUAAAUAAAUGAGAGAUUAUAGUCUA